UGGUUAAGCUUGCUGGGUUCUAUCCACAUGACUUUGAAUUUCAAGAAAUAAACCAGCUUCAUUUUCAGUUGCACCACUAUAUCAAUGAUGUCAGAAAUGAUGAAAACUUCAAAAAUUUGAGAAGUCUAGCAGAGUUGUCUAUGAUGCUAGUUAAAGAAGGAAAGGUUUCUCGGUAUGACAUUGUUUAUAAACUUCUCAAAUUGGUGCUUGUUCUCCCUGUUGCAACUGCUGGUGUUGAGAGGGUCUUUUCUAUAAUGAAUUUGAUAAAGAACAAGAGAAGAAGUAAGAUGGGGCAGAAAUAUUUGAAUGGUUGCUUGGUCACAUUGAUUGAAAGGGAAUUCUUCAUGCAAGCUAAGGAUAAAGACAUCAUCGCUCAUUUUCAAAGCAUUGCAGAAUGGAAAGUUGUCCUAUAGCUUAGAACAUCUGAAGUUUGUGCAACGGUUAAAGCUGGGCGGUUCCCUCUUCAUCUUUUGUGAUAUACCUGCUCGAAUGGAGAGUUGGCGCGAAGAGGUGACUUCGCGUACCGAACGAUGGUUGUCGCGAAGUGAAACUGCACGCGCUCGGACAACGUCGCGGAUGAGGCGCCACAACGGCUUCGUGGUCGAUAAGGACGCAUGAACGAGGGCAGCUUGUGACAAGCGAAGUCAAUGGCUGGUGGUGGUGGCUCGGGAGACCACUCGCGAUUCCGAUGGGGAGCGAAGUGAUGAACGCAUCUUCGGAUAGAUGGCCCACUCGAGCUUAGAUAUAAAGUGAUGAGUUGUAAAAGGGUGUGACUAAAGUGGUGUAAUGUUACUGUAAUACCCUCGAAUAUGCUUCGCACAAAGCUAAAAGGGGGGAGUUGUGCUGUAAAGUGUAAAUAUUACGGUCAUAUAAAAUGGGACCGAGAGGAAUGCAAACUGAUACGUUA